UUACGGCCAAAUCACGUUGAAACGCCGUUUCCAGUACGAUCACCGAAGUUAAGCAAUGUUAAAUGUGGUUAGUACCUAGAUGGGUUACCGCUCGGGUUUUCUUGGUGCUGUAAG